UUUUUUUAUUUUUUAUUUUAUUUUUUGGGUAUUUGUUCCCUUUCUUCAGGGACUUGCAUUACCAGUCAUUUCGGUAAAUUUGUUGAGAUCCAAUUUGAUAAGCAUGGAAUGAUAUCGGGUGCAGCCAUCAGAUAAGUGGUGAAAGUGGGGCAGGAAAAACUGAAACAACAAAAAUUGCAGUGGCUACGGAUUAUCGGUAGCCAUAGGUUCUAUGUCUACAAAUUAAAUCGUUUAUUUAGGUUAUUUGCUUUCUUUUGUUAGGCCUUUAUUUUCUUUUUUUCUUUUUUCAUUUUUCUUUUUUCCAGAGAGCUCAUGUUUUAUUCCCCACAAUUGGGGUCACCAUGGUACUGUUUCUUUGGAUGGUCUGACAAAAAUGCAUCAGGAGAAUGUGAUUAGAAUUUAGAAAUUACAAUUUUUUAAGUAUUCAAGUUCUAUAAUGUAUCUGAUCAUUCAUUAAUUCUGCAUGAGAAAUGUUCUUUCUUUACGUUUUCCUCGGUGAGGUUGGUAAUCUGAUUGAUGUUCUUUCAGCUUUGCAUGGCUCGAGUUGGUGAGCCACAGAAGUUUCAUGCCAAAAUUGCUAACAAUCAACUCUCAGAAGGGUUGGCCUUUGGUUCAGUGCCUACUUGUUGACUUGUUCAAAUUCAUGGAGCCAUACUUGAGGAAUGCUGAACUUGGGGAAUCGGUUCACUUUCUGUACAAAGGCACUCUAAGGGUGCUCUUGGUACUGCUUCAUGAUUUCCUGGAGUUCCUUUCUGAUUAUCAUUUCAGUUUCUGUGAUGUGAUUCCACCCAGUUGCAUUUAAAUGCGGAAUGUUAUUCUAAGUGCAUUCCACGAAACAUGAGGCUGCCCGAUCCUUCUACUCCCAACUUGAAGAUUGAUUUGCUUGCUGAAAUCAGCCAAUCACCACGCAUUCUCUUUGAGGUUGAUGGUGCUCUGAAAGCAAAGCAGAUUGAGGCUGACAUUGAUGAGUAUCUCAAGGAAGAUUUAUGGCAGGCUGCAUUUCCGGUUGGCACAGAGGAAAUAGUACCACUAAGAAAAAUCUGUCGUCGGCCUGAAACUGAUUAUCGGUUGCAAUGACUGCAUGCAUCCAAGGAUUUAGCAUCUAUGGGGCAACAGAACAUGAUGAAAGAUCCUUCUUUGUGAGAUCACGAUAGAGUUCAACGAUUGCUCAAAACAAAUUUCUGUCGAGAUGACCUUGCCGGUCUGCUGAAGGCAGUUCAAGCACAGGAAAAGCAGAAAUUGCAUCUGGUAUGUGGCCUCCCCCACUUGAUCUCUUUUGAUAAUUCGUCUGGAAGACAUGUAACAUUUUUUGAAGAGCUUCUCAAAUGAGUUUUGCUUGAACCCAAGGCAAGGCAACAAUGAAGUAGUGAUACGCAAUAGGUUUUUGAA